GGGGGUUUAGCUCAGUGGUAGAGCGCUUGCCUAGCAAGCGCAAGGCCCUGGGUUCAGUCCCCAGCUCCG
rfam:Rattus norvegicus chromosome 17, whole genome shotgun sequence.